CUCCGGUAUUCAUAUCUGUUAGUAUACAAGGAAAGAAUUUGAAGUCUAAGCUUAAAAACCUUAACUUUUUGGACUGAGAGAUUCAAUACUCGAAGUCAUAUGNNNNNGAAGUUUUCUAAUUCCUUCCAUAAAAAAUAAUGAAAUGAAAUAUUGAAACCCAGAAAAGGUCAAAGUCAAUGCCGCUUUCAGUCUCUUUGUUCUCGU
rnacentral:misc_RNA from 1 species